AAGGAAUUGUUUUCUGUGAAUUGGAAAGGAAACAAGAAAUUAGGAAAAUCAAAUCUACUUUCUGUAACUUUCUCAAGAAAGUGAUGCCCUGAAUUAGGCUAGUAGCUAGGUAUUAACAGCACCAGUUUGUGUUCACAUUUUGAGCUCCCUCUCACCACCUUGAUUUUAGCAAAUUCCCAAGUUAGAACAAACAUUUGAUGUUGGCAAAUCACUGAAAGCAAGACCAUGGUAGAGAAAGUUACUGGCUUUCCAGGGAAAUUAAUGUUGUCUGGAAUGUAGGAUCAAGCUCUGUUACUAGGAAUAGUAUUU
rnacentral:misc_RNA from 1 species